AGGACGAACGCUGGCGGCGCGCCUAACACAUGCAAGUCGAACGGAGAUCGUUGGAAGCUUGCUUCUGAUGAUCUUAGUGGCGGACGGGUGAGUAACACGUGAGCAACCUGCCUUUCAGAGGGGAUAACGUUUGGAAACGAACGCUAAUACCGCAUAACGUAUUUGGACCGCAUGAUCCGGAUACCAAAGGAGCAAUCCGCUGAAAGAUGGGCUCGCGUCUGAUUAGAUAGUUGGUGGGGUAACGGCCCACCAAGGCGACGAUCGGUAGCUGGUCUGAGAGGACGAUCAGCCACACUGGGACUGAGACACGGCCCAGACUCCUACGGGAGGCAGCAGUGGGGAAUUUUCCGCAAUGGGCGAAAGCUUGACGGAGC
rnacentral:rRNA from 1 species